GACGAACGCUGGCGGCAUGCCUAACACAUGCAAGUCGAACGAGAAGUCCCGGCCUUUUGGCGCACGGCUUUGUAAGGCGUGGGGAGCUUCCCUUGUGUACGCCAUAACUCCCCGAAGGGGGUGCUAAGGCCGGAUCGUGUCUUCGGACCAACGAUUUAUUGCCUUUGGAUGGGCCCGCGUUGGAUUCGCUAGUUGGUAGGGUAAUAGCCUACCGAGGCGACGAUCCAUAGCUGGUUGGAGAGGAUGAUCAGCCAGACUGGGACUGAGGCACGGCCCAGACUCCUACGGGAGGGAGCAGAGGGGAGUAGUGGACAAGGGGCGAAAGCGUGAUCAAGCCGUGUCGCGUAAGUGAUGAAGGCCUUAGGGUUGCAAAGCUGUUUUACACGGGAUGAUAAUGACAGUACCGGGAGAAGAAGCUCCGGCUAACUCCGUG
rnacentral:rRNA from 1 species